GAUGAACGCUGGCGGCGUGCCUAAUACAUGCAAGUCGAGCGAACGGACGAGAAGCUUGCUUCUCUGAUGUUAGCGGCGGACGGGUGAGUAACACGUGGAUAACCUACCUAUAAGACUGGGAUAACUUCGGGAAACCGGAGCUAAUACCGGAUAAUAUUUUGAACCGCAUGGUUCAAAAGUGAAAGACGGUCUUGCUGUCACUUAUAGAUGGAUCCGCGCUGCAUUAGCCAGUUGGUAAGGUAACGGCUUACCAAGGCAACGAUGCAUAGCCGACCUGAGAGGGUGAUCGGCCACACUGGAACUGAGACACGGUCCAGACUCCUACGGGAGGCAGCAGUAGGGAAUCUUCCGCAAUGGGCGAAAGCCUGACGGAGCAACGCCGCGUGAGUGAUGAAGGUCUUCGGAUCGUAAAACUCUGUUAUUAGGGAAGAACAUAUGUGUAAGUAACUGUGCACAUCUUGACGGUACCUAAUCAGAAAGCUACGGCUAACUACGUG
rnacentral:rRNA from 1 species